rnacentral:lncRNA from 1 species
GUCGCCGCCGCCGUGGGGGAGGAGGGUCAUGAUCCCAAGGAAGCAGAGCAGUUGAGAAAGCUGUUUAUUGGUGGUCUGAGCUUUGAAACUACAGAUGAUAGCUUAAGAGAACAUUUUGAGAAAUGGGGCACACUUACAGAUUGUGUGGUGAUGAGAGACCCCCAAACAAAAUGUUCCAGGGGCUUUGGUUUUGUGACUUAUUCUUGUGUUGAAGAAGUGGAUGCAGCGAUGUGUGCUCGACCGCACAAGGUUGAUGGGCGUGUAGUGGAACCAAAGAGAGCUGUUUCUAGAGAGGAUUCUGUAAAGCCUGGUGCCCAUCUAACAGUGAAGAAAAUUUUUGUUGGUGGUAUUAAAGAAGAUACAGAUGAAUAUAAUUUGAGAGACUACUUUGAAAAGUAUGGCAAGAUUGAAACCAUAGAAGUUAUGGAAGACAGGCAGAGUGGGAAAAAGAGAGGAUUUGCUUUUGUAACUUUUGAUGAUCAUGAUACAGUUGAUAAAAUUGUUGUUCAGAAAUACCACACUAUUAAUGGGCAUAAUUGUGAAGUGAAAAAGGCCCUUUCUAAACAAGAGAUGCAAUCUGCUGGAUCACAAAGAGGUCGUGGAGGUGGAUCUGGCAACUUUAUGGGUCGUGGAGGAAACUCUGGAGGUGGUGGAGGAAACUUUGGCCAUGGUGGAAACUUUGGUGGAAGAGGCGGCUGUGGUGGUGGAGGUGGUGGCAGCAGAGGGAGCUAUGGAGGAGGCGAUGGUGGAUAUAAUGGAUUUGGAGGGGAUGGUGGCAACUAUGGCAGUGGUCCUGGUUAUAGUAGUAGAGGAGCUAACGGUGCUGGUGGACCAGGAGGACAUGGAAACCAAGGUGGUGGAUAUGGUGGCGGUGGUGGAGGAUAUGAUGGUUACAAUGAAGGAGGAAAUUUUGGAGGUAACUAUGGUGGUGGUGGAAACUAUAAUGAUUUUGGAAAUUAUAGUGGACAACAGCAGUCAAAUUAUGGACCCAUGAAAGGGGGUAGUUUUGGUGGAAGAAGCUCGGGCAGUCCCUAUGGUGGUGGUUAUGGAUCUGGUGGCGGAAGUGGUGGAUAUGGUAGCAGAAGGUUCUAA